rnacentral:misc_RNA from 1 species
AACGCACCUUGCGCUCCUUGGUAUUCCGAGGAGCAUGCCUGUUUGAGUGUCAUGUAUUUUUUGUCAGUCCAUUUGGGAUUUUUUUUUAAUUUAAAUUUCCUGUGUGGAGCUGGUCGUGGGGGCUGCUGGCUGUUUUAAUUAAUGGCCUGCUCCUCUUAAAUGAAUUAGUGUGAAUGUUAUCAAAUGUUCCCCAGUGUAAUAAUUUGUUUGCACUGUUGGCAUCUUGGUAGAUUGUCAUCUGUUCACACUUCUAACAGUCCUGCAUUUGGACAAUAUUUACUUUUGCAUUUGACCUCAAAUCAGGUAGGACUACCCGCUGAACUUAA